UUAAGUUAAUAAGGGCGCACGGUGGAUGCCUUGGCACUAGGAGCCGACGAAGGACGUGACAAACGACGAUAUGCCUUGGGUAGCUGUAAGUAAGCGAUGAUCCAGGGAUUUCCGAAUGGGGGAACCCAACAGGUAGUACCUGUUACCCACAUCUGUUAAGGAUGUGAGGAGGAAGACGCAGUGAACUGAAACAUCUAAGUAGCUGCAGGAAGAGAAAGCAAAAGCGAUUGCCUUAGUAGCGGCGAGCGAAACGGCAGAAGGGCAAACCGAAGAGUUUACUCUUCGGGGUUGUAGGACUGCAAUGUGGACUCAAAGAUUAUAGAAGAAUGAUUUGGGAAGAUCAGCCAAAGAGAGUAAUAGCCUCGUAUUUUAAAUAGUCUUUGUACCUAGCAGUAUCCUGAGUACGGCGGGACACGGGAAAUCCCGUCGGAAUCUGGGAGGACCAUCUCCCAACCCUAAAUACUCCCUAGUGACCGAUAGUGAACCAGUACCGUGAGGGAAAGGUGAAAAGCACCCCGGGAGGGGAGUGAAAUAGAACCUGAAACCGUGUGCCUACAACAAGUUCGAGCCCGUUAAUGGGUGAGAGCGUGCCUUUUGUAGAAUGAACCGGCGAGUUACGUUAUGAUGCGAGGUUAAGUUGAAGAGACGGAGCCGUAGGGAAACCGAGUCUGAAUAGGGCGCCUUAGUAUCAUGACGUAGACCCGAAACCAUGUGACCUACCCAUGAGCAGGUUGAAGGUGCGGUAAGACGCACUGGAGGACCGAACCAGGGCACGUUGAAAAGUGCUUGGAUGACUUGUGGGUAGCGGAGAAAUUCCAAACGAACUUGGAGAUAGCUGGUUCUCUCCGAAAUAGCUUUAGGGCUAGCGUCGACAUUAGAGAUUCUUGGAGGUAGAGCACUGUUUGGGUGAGGGGUCCAUCCCGGAUUACCAAUCUCAGAUAAACUCCGAAUGCCAAUGAAUUAUGGUCGGCAGUCAGACUGCGAGUGCUAAGAUCCGUAGUCGAAAGGGAAACAGCCCAGACCACCAGCUAAGGUCCCAAAAUAAUUGUUAAGUGGAAAAGGAUGUGGGGUUGCACAGACAACUAGGAUGUUAGCUUAGAAGCAGCUAUUCAUUCAAAGAGUGCGUAAUAGCUCACUAGUCGAGUGACCCUGCGCCGAAAAUGUACCGGGGCUAAAACAAUUUACCGAAGCUGUGGAUACCUUUAUAGGUAUGGUAGGAGAGCGUUCUAUGUGUGAUGAAGGUAUACCGUGAGGAGUGCUGGAACGCAUAGAAGUGAGAAUGCCGGUAUGAGUAGCGAAAGACAGGUGAGAAUCCUGUCCACCGUAAGACUAAGGUUUCCAGGGGAAGGCUCGUCCGCCCUGGGUUAGUCGGGACCUAAGGAGAGACCGAAAGGUGUAUCCGAUGGACAACAGGUUGAUAUUCCUGUACUAGAGUAUGUAGUGAUGGAGGGACGCAGUAGGCUAACUAAAGCAGACGAUUGGAAGAGUCUGUCUAAGCAGUGAGGGUGAAUUGAGUCAAAUGCUUAAUUCUAUAACAUUGAGCUGUGAUGGGGGCGAAGUUUAGUAGCGAAGUUAGUGAUGUCACACUGCCAAGAAAAGCUUCUAGCGUUUAAACAUACUCUACCCGUACCGCAAACCGACACAGGUAGUCGAGGCGAGUAGCCUCAGGUGAGCGAGAGAACUCUCGUUAAGGAACUCGGCAAAAUGACCCCGUAACUUCGGGAGAAGGGGUGCUGACUUUAAGUCAGCCGCAGUGAAUAGGCCCAAGCAACUGUUUAUCAAAAACACAGCUCUCCGCUAAAUCGUAAGAUGAUGUAUAGGGGGUGACGCCUGCCCGGUGCUGGAAGGUUAAGAGGAGUGCUUAGCGUAAGCGAAGGUAUGAAUUGAAGCCCCAGUAAACGGCGGCCGUAACUAUAACGGUCCUAAGGUAGCGAAAUUCCUUGUCGGGUAAGUUCCGACCCGCACGAAAGGCGUAAUGAUUUGGGCACUGUCUCAACGAGAGACUCGGUGAAAUUUUAGUACCUGUGAAGAUGCAGGUUACCCGCGACAGGACGGAAAGACCCCAUGGAGCUUUACUGCAGUUUGAUAUUGAGUGUCUGUACCACAUGUACAGGAUAGGUAGGAGUCUAAGAGAUCGGGACGCCAGUUUCGAAGGAGACGCUGUUGGGAUACUACCCUUGUGUUAUGGCCACUCUAACCCAGAUAGGUGAUCCCUAUCGGAGACAGUGUCUGACGGGCAGUUUGACUGGGGCGGGCGCCUCCC
rnacentral:rRNA from 1 species